rnacentral:rRNA from 1 species
UGACGGAGCACGCCGCGUGAGUGAUGAAGGUUUUCGGAUCGUAAAGCUCUGUUGUUAGGGAAGAACAAGUACCGUUCGAAUAGGGCGGUACCUUGACGGUACCUAACCAGAAAGCCACGGCUAACUACGUGCCAGCAGCCGCGGUAAUACGUAGGUGGCAAGCGUUGUCCGGAAUUAUUGGGCGUAAAGGGCUCGCAGGCGGUUUCUUAAGUCUGAUGUGAAAGCCCCCGGCUCAACCGGGGAGGGUCAUUGGAAACUGGGGAACUUGAGUGCAGAAGAGGAGAGUGGAAUUCCACGUGUAGCGGUGAAAUGCGUAGAGAUGUGGAGGAACACCAGUGGCGAAGGCGACUCUCUGGUCUGUAACUGACGCUGAGGAGCGAAAGCGUGGGGAGCGAACAGGAUUAGAUACCCUGGUAGUCCACGCCGUAAACGAUGAGUGCUAAGUGUUAGGGGGUUUCCGCCCCUUAGUGCUGCAGCUAACGCAUUAAGCACUCCGCCUGGGGAGUACGGUCGCAAGACUGAAACUCAAGAAA